rnacentral:lncRNA from 1 species
AUACAUCUAAAAAAAAAGAAGAAACCCAAAGAGAGGAAGAGAAGGAAAGAGGUUAAGAGAGCAGCAAGGCUGAUAGAAGAAGAAAUAGGAGGGUGAUUUUCGUGAAGGCUAAGCUAAAAGAUGGGAGAAUCAUCCAAUGGAAGGUAAGAUCAAUUCACUCUUGAAACCCGAAUUAGAAAUGAGUAUUAUAAUUUCCUAUAUCAUGGAUAUAGAUUUUUAGCAAGUUUUGUAUGUGCAUUUCGUAUGAUUUCGAUGUGAUGGUGAAGAAUAUUCUUGUGCUU